rnacentral:rRNA from 1 species
CAGUCGCCGCGGUAAAACGGAGGGCGCGAGCGUUACCCGGAUUUACUGGGCGUAAAGGGCGUGUAGGCGGCCUGGGGCGUCCCAUGUGAAAGGCCACGGCUCAACCGUGGGGGAGCGUGGGAUACGCUCAGGCUAGAGGGUGGGAGAGGGUGGUGGAAUUCCCGGAGUAGCGGUGAAAUGCGCAGAUACCGGGAGGAACGCCGAUGGCGAAGGCAGCCACCUGGUCCACUUCUGACGCUGAGGCGCGAAAGCGUGGUGAGCAAACCGGAUUAGAUACCCCCGUAGUCCCUGUCUCUUAUAC